rnacentral:rRNA from 1 species
GUGUAAAACCGCUUUUCUCAGGGGAAGAAGCACUGACGGUACCUGAGGAAGAAGGACCGGCUAACUACGUGCCAGCAGCCGCGGUAAUACGUAGGGUCCGAGCGUUGUCCGGAGUUACUGGGCGUAAAGCGCGCGCAGGCGGCGGUGUAAGCAUGGCGUGAAAGCCCCCGGCUCAACCGGGGAGGGUCGUCGUGGACUGCACCGCUUGAGGGCGGUAGGGGCUGGUGGAAUGCCUGGUGUAGUGGUGAAAUGCGUAGAGAUCAGGCGGAACACCCGUGGCGAAGGCGGCCAGCUGGGCCGACCCUGACGCUGAGGCGCGAAGGCGUGGGGAGCGAACGGGAUUAGAUACCCCGGUAGUCCACGCAGUAAACGAUGCAGACUAGGCGUGGGGGGAGUUGACCCCCUCGUGCCGGAGCCAACGCGGGAAGUCUGCCGCCUGGGGAGUACGGCCGCAAGGCUAAAACUCAAAGGAAUUGACGGG